GACGAACGCUGGCGGCGUGCUUAACACAUGCAAGUCGAACGGGCUGCCUGGUUUUCGGAUCGGGUGGUGAGUGGCGAACGGGUGAGUAACACGUGAGUAACCUGCCCCUCUCUUUGGGAUAACGUCGGGAAAUCGGCGCUAAUACCGGGUAUUCUGGCUUCCUCGCAUGGGGUUGUUGGGAAAGGUUUUUUCUGGUGGGGGAUGGGCUCGCGGCCUAUCAGCUUGUUGGUGGGGUGAUGGCCUACCAAGGCGGUGACGGGUAGCCGGCCUGAGAGGGUGUCCGGCCACACUGGGACUGAGACACGGCCCAGACUCCUACGGGAGGCAGCAGUGGGGAAUAGUGCACAAUGGGCGGAAGCCUGAUGCAGCGACGCCGCGUGGGGGAUGACGGCCUUCGGGUUGUAAACCUCUUUCAGUGCAGAACAAGGCUCUUUGUGGGUUGAGGGUAUGCGCAGAAGAAGCGCCGGCUAACUACGUG
rnacentral:rRNA from 1 species